GCCGCUUUAGCUCAGUCGGUAGAGCGUCUCACUCGUAAUGAGAAGGUCGCGAGUUCGAUUCUCGCAAGCGGCUCCA
rnacentral:tRNA from 15 species